GACCAUUUUUACAUUUUUUGCACGGGCAUAAGAUCAUCCCAUCAUUUGAAUUUGAGAAGGCUAAGUUCAAAAAAUGUUGCAAUCCUAUUCGAUAUUCAUUGCUUGACCUUGGUAGAUCCAUCCAUGUUUUGUCCAUCUAAGUAUUUUUGGAAUGAACCAGAAGUAAUAAAAAAAUAGAAGUAAUACAAUAAUAAAUUAUAAAGUAAGUGAGUAAGAAAAAAUACCUUUAAACUUCAAAUCUUACGAAUAAUUCACCCAAGCAACCAAGAUCUCUCUAGAAAUUGAAAUCACCUUCGUUGAGUGACUCAAACCCCUGAUCAUCAUAUUUAAUUAGACGAAGUUAGUUUUAGAGAACAGUCGAAAUAAAAAUAUACAUGCAUUAUCAAAAAAUUAACACGAUUUGAGUACUCGAUUAGACCUCCCCAUACUAAAUCAUAUUAAUUUGAUUUCACUUUACAUAUAUCAAAUUCUUAUUAUACCUACUGUACAAGUUCACAAGAAUUACAUUGAAAAAGAGUUAAGAGUUAUAAGGAAAAACCAUAUCUGAAACAUGGAAAAAAACAUUUAUGUCUGAUUCCAACCAUACACACCAACAUCUAAGGUCAUACAAUUCAGUCAAAAUUAUUCUUUAGUAACUGAGCAUUACUAGAGUCCAGAAGACAACCGAUUCAGAACUCUUCCGAGAGUUCUUUUUUUUUUUUUUUUUUUAUGACGUUUUAAGAGAAAAAAAAAGAAACACUUAACAAAUUUGUAGAACUCGACAAUUCAACCGGUAUUUAUUUGAUCGACAUACAAUAUACUAUCAAGUUUAUAUUUUUAAAAGGAAUUCAUAUAUUACAUAUGUUUAACUAUAAUGAACACAUAAACGUUUCUCUCAACCAUGGCAAAACAUCUCUAGAAUAAUUUUAAGAAUAAAUCUAAACAAAAAUAUAACUAACUACUCACUGAAAUAUAUAUUGUUCCAAGAAAAAAAAAUCACUAGUUCAAACACUUCAACUCACCACAAAUAAAUUAAAAAAAUGGUUCAAGCAAUUAUUUAAAUCUUAACUAUGUUCUGAAAAACAGAAGAAAAACAAAAAAAAAAAAAAAAAAAAGCAACAGGGGAAGAAAAUAGAAAAAAAACAAAGGGGGCCAAGAAAGAACAAAAAUCAAAGUUAUAGAGAGAGAUCUACGAGAGAGGGGUAUUACCCAAGAUUAAUUCUUCCCCCAAAAUCAACCCCACCAAAAUCAAUCCCACCAAAAUCAUAGUUUUCUUAUGGGUUUGCCUAAGUGGAGCAACAUACGUAAUCAUAGGGUCAUUUAUAUGUCAAAUUUUAUACAGAAAACAAAAAUUAAAUAAAUGGAACUAACCUCACUUCAAUAACCAGAUGAUGAAAUGUUUUAACUUUUUGAGAAGGCAAAGCACGAUAUUUCAAUGAAAGAUAAAUAUCUGGCAAAGGAGAAAGACCACCAAAUUAGAAGAGGAACCGUCAAUUAGGGUAACAUGAAGAGAAAUUGUAAAUUGGGGGAAGGAGAAGGAAAAAUGGUUAGUAAAAAGGUUGAGAUAAUGGGUUGUGACUUAUGCCGCCAAAUAUUUCGAGGGUGAGGGAAAAUUU
rnacentral:lncRNA from 1 species